GUGGCGGUAUGGGAUUCUGUUUAUCCUUCGAAAUCAGUUUGCGAGCAAUCGCACGAGGGUUCGAAUCCCUCCCGCUGCGCCA
rnacentral:tRNA from 4 species